ensembl:lncRNA
CACAAAUCUCAUAAAAUAGCAGAAAUAGUAUGAUUUAGCAGAAAUCCUGUAUUUAGCACAAAUACUGAAAAGCAGCAGAAAUGCUAUGACUUAGCACAACAGUAAUAACUUAUAGAAAAAUUGGAAAAGCAAAAUGGACAGCUGGAAAAAUCCUGAACAUGCUAAGGGUCCCUCAAAUCUAAUUGUUAAUUGAAAAAAAAAAAAAAAAAAAAAAAAGUAUAACAGUCACACAAUCACAAAUAUGGGCACAUAUGGAAACACACAUGCACAGAGAGACACACACAGGACCAAAUUCAGUCAACCAGUCUAAAUAUAUUGAAUUUAAGUGAUAUAAUAAGAUGCUCCCAUCAAAAGGCUCUCUCUCUCUUGCUCUCUCUCUCUCUCUCACACACACACACACACACACACACACACACACAGAGCCUAAAGGGAACAGUAUUUGUGCCAUGGAGUGUUAAGAAGAAUCUGAGGUCCAUGUUAGAAAAGCUGGUAAAAUCAUAAAAGUUUGCAGAAUUGUAAUAAAUGAUGAAUAUGAAUUAGUGGUCUGUGAUAGUGUAUUAAUUUGUAGGGAAAAAAAACAUGUUGCCCAAGGUGUAAUUGAACCCACGACCUUUGGGUUGCAGACCUGUGUUAUUACCAACUGCGCCACUGGGAAAGAGCGAGCGCCUGGAAAACAGGGUGAUGAGCAGUCAGAAUUAGAUUGCGGUGAGAGGCGAAAAACGCUGUUUUUUGGAGUUACAAAACGUCGUGUAACUCAAAAACUAGGUGGACUAGAAGCAUAAUUCUUGUACUGGGUGAAUCAGCGGACUUUGGUGUGCUUUGACUGUGAUUUGCAUUGCUCUUUGUACAUCUGUCGCUGAGAUAUGACGAGAGAAGAAAGGGCAGACCUCAGAUAUGAUUGGCUGGCUGGGAAGCCGUGCAGGCCCUGAUAUGUAAAUUUUAUAUGUAUCAGUCCUCACAGAGGAUUAGCUGCCUGGGGACCUGGCAGAAAUAUAUACAAAUAGUAUGAUUAAGCAUAAAUACUACAUUUAGUAGAAAUACUAUGUUUUAGCACAAAUACUAUAAAAUGGCAGGAAUACUAUAAUUAAGCAGAAAUACUAUAUUUGGUAGUAGUAGUAGUAUUAGUGGCACGGUGGCAGCACGGUGGCACGGUGGUUAGCACUGUGCCGCACAGCAAGAAGGUCCUGAGUUCGAUUCCACCAUCAGGCCGGGGUCUUUCUGUGUGGAGUUUGCAUGUUCUCCCCGUGUUUGCGUGGGUUCCCUCCGGGUACUCCGGCUUCCUCCCACUGUCCAAAGACAUGCAGUUUGAGGGGAUAGGUUAAUUGGAUAAUCCAAAUUGUCACUAGGUGUGAAUGUGUGAGUGAAUGUGAGCGUGAGUGGUUGUUUGUCCCUGUGUGUUGGCCCUGCGACAGACUGGCGACCUGUCCAGGGUGUACCCCGCCUCUCGCCCUAUGACAGCUGGGAUAGGCUCCAGCGCCCCCCGCGACCCUGGAAAGGAUAAGCGGAAGCGAAUGGAUGGAUGGAUGGAUGGAUACUAUAUUUGGCAGAAACACUAUAUUUAGUACAAAUCUUAUGAAAUAGCAGAAAUAGUAUGAUUUAGCAGAAAUGCUGUAUUUGGCACAAAUACUGAAAAGCAGCAGAAAUGCUAUGACUUAGCACAACAGUAAUAACUUAUAGAAAAAUUGGAAAAGCAAAAUGGACAGCUGGAAAAAUCCUGAACAUGCUAAGGGUCCCUCAAAUCUAAUUGUUAAUUGAAAAAAAAAAUCAGCAAAAAAGUAUAACAGUGACACAAUCACAAAUAUGGACACAUAUGGAAACACACAUGCACAGAGAGACACACACAGGAUCAAACACAGGAUCAAAUUCAGUCAACCAGUCUAAAUAUAUUGAAUUUAAAUCACAUAAUAAGAUGCUCC